CGUGGGUAACGUUUGAAUUUCAAGCAAGUUUAACAUUGACAACCUUGUUGACAACCUAAAAUUUAAAAAUGAAGUUCCUUGUUUUGGCUUUUCUGAUAGUGCUGGUGGCUUUCCAAGUAGCGUACUGCGAAGAAAAGAUUUGCGCUUGCAUAGUUAAUAAUCAACCAUGCCCCAAGGACACUACACCCAAGGGAAAAUGUGGCGUUAACGGAAAGCCUGGCAUCAAUUGCUGUUAAUUGGAAGAUUACAAUAUGACACCAUUCAUACUACACAAAUUUUAAUGUGAUUAAAUUAGUCUAUUCAAUAAAAAAUUUUAAGUCA